rnacentral:rRNA from 1 species
CGGGUGAGUAACGCGUGGGUAACCUGCCUCAUACAGGGGGAGUAACAGUUGGAAACGGCUGCUAAUACCGCAUAAGCCCACGGCUCGGCAUCGAGCAGAGGGAAAAGGAGCAAUCCGCUUUGAGAUGGCCUCGCGUCCGAUUAGCUAGUUGGUGAGGUAACGGCCCACCAAGGCAACGAUCGGUAGCCGGACUGAGAGGUUGAACGGCCACAUUGGGACUGAGACACGGCCCAG